ACAAAAGAGCAUCCCAAGCACUACUGUGCACUGCCAAGCAAAAGUUUAUCAAGAUGAAGAAGAAAGUUUAAAGUUGGUGUAAGAUUCGUCAAAAGAGACGAUCAAAAAUUAAUUUGACACAAGUCAUCGAAAUGAAGAAGAAAGUUUAACGGUGGUGGAAGAUUCCUCAAGAGUUGGUCAGAGUAAAAUUUGAAAAAGUAGAAGUUUCGAUAAUUUACAAAUAUAUAGAUGCUCUAAUUUUUGCUUAUAUAAUUUUUCAAUUAAUUAUUUAUCCAUCAAGAUAUGUACCUUUCAAGAACAAAAUUAUAUUACAAAACACACUUUUUAUAUCAAGGGCGACAUGAUCUUCCACGGAUUAUUUUGUUGCUUAAAGAAAACUUUUGAUAUUUUCAUUAUAUGAACUUUUGUCUUUUGGAUAUACAAUCCAUAU